AUAACAAUAUUUAGAACUGUUUAGCAUAUAUUUUCAAAAGAUAUGAUUUAGUUUAAAAAUGUAAAGCAGAGGAUAUCGAAACUGCAUCUAGGCACGCCAUAUCUCCUCUAAAACCUAAGAUUUUUUACCCAUCUAUAUAUAUACUUAGAAUUACCUACUACCCAUCCACAUUUCACAGAAAACAUGUUUACCGCAACAAAUAAUGUUCUUUGGUUUCAUGCAUAUGCGUUUAAAAAAAAAAAAAUUCAUUAAAUAUCAUCCCCUUUAGUGGGCAUCGGAAACAGUACAAAAUCCGGUUAACCGGAGAAACAGUCCC
rnacentral:lncRNA from 1 species